rnacentral:rRNA from 1 species
UACGUAGGGUGCAAGCGUUGUCCGGAAUUAUUGGGCGUAAAGAGCUCGUAGGCGGUCUGUCGCGUCGGCUGUGAAAACCCGAGGCUCAACCUCGGGCCUGCAGUCGAUACGGGCAAACUGGAGUGUUGCAGGGGAGACUGGAAUUCCUGGUGUAGCGGUGAAAUGCGCAGAUAUCAGGAGGAACACCGGUGGCGAAGGCGGGUCUCUGGGCAGUAACUGACGCUGAGGAGCGAAAGCGUGGGGAGCGAACAGG